rnacentral:rRNA from 1 species
UACAGAGGGUGCGAGCGUUAAUCGGAAUUACUGGGCGUAAAGCGCGCGUAGGCGGCUUUGCAAGUCGGGUGUGAAAUCCCCAGGCUUAACCUGGGAACUGCAUCCGAGACUGCAUUGCUAGAGUAUGGGAGAGGGAAGUGGAAUUUCCGGUGUAGCGGUGAAAUGCGUAGAUAUCGGAAGGAACAUCAGUGGCGAAGGCGACUUACUGGACCAAUACUGACGCUCAUGUGCGAAAGCGUGGGGAGCAAACAGG